rnacentral:rRNA from 1 species
UACGGAGGGUGCGAGCGUUGUCCGGAAUCAUUGGGCGUAAAGGGCGCGUAGGUGGCCCGGUCAGUUCGUGGUGAAAGCGCGGGGCUCAACCCUGCGUCGGCCAUGAAUACUGCCGCGGCUGGAGCACUGUAGAGGCAGGCGGAAUUCCGGGUGUAGCGGUGGAAUGCGUAGAGAUCCGGAAGAACACCGGUGGCGAAGGCGGCCUGCUGGGCAGUUGCUGACACUGAGGCGCGACAGCGUGAGGAGCAAACAGG